UACGAAGGGGGGCUAGCGUUGCUCGGAAUCACUGGGCGUAAAGCGCACGUAGGCGGCUUUUUAAGUCAGGGGUGAAAUCCUGGAGCUCAACUCCAGAACUGCCCUUUGAUACUGAGAAGCUUGAGUCCGGGAGAGGUGAGUGGAACUGCGAGUGUAGAGGUGAAAUUCGUAGAUAUUCGCAAGAACACCAGUGGCGAAGGCGGCUCACUGGCCCGGUACUGACGCUGAGGGUGCGAAAGCGUGGGGAGCAACAGG
rnacentral:rRNA from 1 species